UACGUAGGGGGCUAGCGUUGUCCGGAAUCAUUGGGCGUAAAGCGCGUGUAGGCGGUCCGGUAAGUCCGCUGUGAAAGUCGGGGGCUCAACCCUCGAAUGCCGGUGGAUACUGUCGGGCUAGAGUGCAGAAGAGGCGAGUGGAAUUCCUGGUGUAGCGGUGAAAUGCGCAGAUAUCAGGAGGAACACCAAUUGCGAAGGCAGCUCGCUGGGACGUUACUGACGCUGAGACGCGAAAGCGUGGGGAGCAAACAGG
rnacentral:rRNA from 1 species